UUUAUUCCUUCUGCGGCACCUGGCAUUAGCUACAGUUGGAAGACAGGAUACUGGCCUUUGGUCUGACCCAGUAUGGCCGUUUUUAUGUUAAGAGCUGUUUUAAAGAGGACAGUGAUGAAGUGUCCUUCACACGGGAGUAGUACAAGUAGUACCUGACUUAAUCUGCAUUAAGAGGGAUUUAGAUGGAUAUUAGGAAAAACUUUGUAAGGGUAGAUAAACACUGGCCUAGGCAUCCGAGGGAGGUUGUGGAUCCCGCAUCGCUGGGAAUUUUUAAGGACGGGUUAGCUAGACCGGUCAUGGAUGGUCUAAGUUUACUGGAUCCUGCCUCAGCACAGGGGCUGGCCUUGAUGACUUCUGGAGCGCCUUCCAGCCCUACAUGUCAAUGAAACACACCCUUCCCGUUCGUUAGCCACUAGGAACCCUGCACUAUCACCACAGCGGAUUUGACAGGACGCUGCACCAGAACAGCCCCUGAUCCUGCGGCGGGGUCUAGGCAGACGCCCCCUCUCGCCUGGGUGUGUCUACACCGCGCUCAGGCGCCGGCCGCUGGCGCGUGGCAGCUGACUCGGGCUAAGGGGCUGUUUAAUGCGAUGAGACCCUCGCACCCCUCCCAGGGCCCUACGACCAGGCAGCGGCACGGGCCAGCCGCGGGUUCCCAUUGCGGGCAGCGGGCUCAGCGCAGUGCGAGUGCCCGAGCAGGGCUGCCUGGGAGCAGCGCCCGGCCCGGCCGCAACGAGGCGCUGAGCAAACCCCCGACGGGCGGGCGGGCGGCAAACGCCCCGCGGAGCCGCCUCGCGCGCAGAGCAGCGCCAGGGCUGCAGCCGCCCCGGGGGGCGGGGCCCGGGCUCGAGCCGGCCCCGAGGCGGAAGCGCGCGCGCCGCGCGGCGGCAGUUACCCGUCCAUCACGUCCAGGUGCAGGUAGUCCGCCCCGGAGUCCAGCAUGCGGCCGCACUCGGCGCCCAGCGCCGCCAGGUCGCUGUUGAGGAUGGACGGGCCGAUCCGGCAACCCGACGCCAUGGCCGCCGCGCCACCGGGAACUGAGCGAGGCGCAGGCGCAACAGCUUGAGAGGCGCCACAACCCCCUCCCCGGGGAUGCUGGGACGUGUAGUUCUUCUGCCGCCGCCGACUGCGGCUUGCAGAAUGGCAGGGACUACUCGCCCCACAAUGCAACACGGUGCCUGGGGAAAGGGUGGCGCAGGCGCGCUUCAUCAGCCUUUGGCGUCCCUCCCGGCGCCAGGGGGCGGGGCAGCACUGGAGACCCGCCCCCUGAGGGCGGUGCAAAGACCAUGAUGGGCGGGAGGGGGGGAGGCGAGCCCCGCCCGCAGCACAGGGCACACAGCUGGCCCAGGCUGGUGUCCCUGAGCCUGGCUGCCCUGCUCUGGUCACUCCCUCUGCAGCCCCUGGCUCCGGCUGCUGGCGGGACCCUGUCCUUGCCGGACUCUUGGUCAGGCCCAGCGUGGCCGUGCUGCUGUUCCUCCUUCGUGAGGGUAGCUCCUGCAGCUUGCCUGGACGGAAGUCAGGCAUCGGCUUCCAUGGCAUAACGCCUCGCCGCCAUCGAGAGUCACCAAGUUCCAGCGAUACUGUCAACUAAACUCACCCUUCCCUGAGUUCCGGCGCACCGUGCCGAGCCAGCCGCUUUCACCCAGCUUUGUAUCUCAUGUAGGCCAAAGCAGAGGUUUAUACCUACUGGGUUAUCAUCAGUUUAGGAAGAGACAGUCAAAUAUUUAGGAAAAAUAAAAGAAAGGGGGAGUAUUAGCUUGACUUCCAAAGUAACCCAUUCAGAAGUGUAAAAUAUGAGUGCAAUAAAUGAUGGCCAGGCCUCCAAACGUGGCAAAUAUACCACAUUGGUUGUUAGCUGUGGAGCAUUUGGAGGGAAUUGCAGGAAGAAAAGUUUAUCAGAGAAUGUCAGCUCCAGCAAAGACAAAGUUUGGAAAGAUGGAGGCCCUCUCUGGACGAAGUAGCCAUCAUAAGGCCUAAGAAAAAUCUCACACCACACCACAUUAAAUAUUUGUGAUAUAUUUUAUUAUUUGUGCAUAUUCAAACAUUUUAAACUCUUAUAAUCUCUUUCAUAAACAUAAUUCAGACAUCUCUAUUAUUUAUAUUUUAUCCCUGGUCUUUGGUCACUUGGUACACAUCACAGGCUUUGCUAUUAGGUACUUUUGGGAAGUACAGUAGAUGGUUUUCUCAUUUUAGAUCUAUAAGAUUUUGGGUCUGUAAUCCUUCAAAUUAUUUUUAAAGGGCUUUCAUUUUACUAAUGGGGAUUUUUGUUCUCCGGUUGCAUUGAUUCUUAAAAUGAAUUACACAGUUGUAAUGUGGGGAAAUUAUAUAAUUUGACAUGUUUUUACCCAGUUCUAUGUAACGAAUUUGCCUUAAGCCCUCAAAUCUCACUUGCUUCAAAUAAACUCUAUUCUCUGUUUGGCACAGCAAAAUUGCCUUCCUUUCAGUGCAAGACUUGACUACUUCCCAAUACAACAGAAAAUGCAAAUGAGAAUGUAAUAUCCUACUUAACUGCUGCCCUGAGAUAAUAUUUUAAAUCACAUAUCCACUUGGUUGUGAAGGUUGGUCUAUUGUAAUUGGUUUCUUCUCCGAUAUUUUGUUUCUUUCCAUCUAAACAUUUCUUUGGUAAUGGGAAGUCAAAAACACUUUGUUAAAGCUUAAGAUUUGUUCAAAUUUCAAAGAGAAUGCCCUUAUUUGGAGAUUGGGAGGGAACUACACCAUUUAUAAACUUAUACUUAGUUUUAGGGUUUCAACUCAACAAGAGUUUCUAGUUUUGAUGUUUUUUGAACUUCCAAACAAAUUGAUAAGAUCAGUUUCAAACCUACAUCAUGUUUUCCUUCUGGAACACAAUUUUCUUUCCUUCAAAAAUCUAGGCAAUAGUAUUAUUUCAAAUACAUCCUGUGACAUUCUUAUGCACAUACAUGUACAUAUAAAUACACCUAGACAUUCAGCACAGUUAAGGUCAUAUUAAGAGGACACAAAUGCACACAACAAGUGGAUCACACCGAAAGUUCCCAGUACAAUGAUCCCCCCUUUCUAAAAGGCGGGGGUGGGGGAUGUAUGGCAAGUUCUAGCGAGGCACAUAUUAAAAGAUGACAGAUAAACAUAUUAAAUUAUAACAAACUUUGUUGGCAACAGAGCAAAGUAAUCUCAUAUAGCAGGGUAUAGUGCUUUUUAAAAAGGGAGACUUGUCUAAUGUUGUACAAUAGGAUUAAACAGAGCCUUGUCUUUUAAUUACUAUUUGUUGAACAUGAUCAGUGUGAACAGACUUUUCUAUCUUUAAUCCUUUU